rnacentral:rRNA from 1 species
AUGGCGGAAUCGAACUCGUACGAGGAGCAGCGCCGGAGGCAGAUUGAGGAGAACCGCCGGAAGCUGGAGGAGCUCCGCCUGCACCACCUCUCCGCCGCCGUCCGCGAGGCCGCCGCCAGGCCCAAGCCCAACCCCAAGCCCAGGCCGAAGCGCAAGGCCCCGGAGCCCGGCGAUCUCCGGCGGUCCGGCCGCGUCGCCGGCCUCCCGGAGCAGCCCAACUACCUCGAGGGCGCACUUCAGCGCGACUACCGUGGAGUGUACGAGGCGUAUGCCGCUUCGAAAACGCCGACCGCCGAGGAGAGGGCCGGCGCCGUCGCCAAGGCCGAGGAGCUCAAGCGCCGGAUCCACCGCAUCCGCUGCCCCGCCUUCGUCAAAAUCCCCAAGCACUUCAUCGAGUAUCUCCCGGCGCACGAUGAGGCAGCCGUCUUGGUGGACGAGGCGGAUGACGAGUUCCACAUGAUGUACAAUGCCCACAGAAAGGGCAAACACUGUCACUACUACCUCGACAAGGGGUGGAGACGGUUUGCUGCUGACCAUGACCUUGCCGAUGGCGAUUGCUUGGUUUUCCACAUGACGGAGAGGGUAAAGUUCAAGGUCUACAUUUUUAGAGCAAACCCAGACUAUGAAAGCAACCAAACUUCCGAUGACUCUGAUGAUGAAGAGUAA